CUCUAGCUGUCAAUCAGAGAAGCAGGGAGGGUUCUCCCUGCUUCUGUUACCUCCUCUGAGCAAACGGAAGUGGCUGGCGCUCUAUCCUUGAGAACAUCAGACUCUCCCCUGAAUGAGAAGCCUGUGAUAGGCUCUUUCCCCGUGAAGAGACUAAGUCUAUUCCACAAAAAAUAUUAAGAAGAGGGCUGUAAAGCCUGCAGUUCAUUAGAACUGCAGCUUUUGCAAACUGUUUUAAGUUAUACCCCCAAUGAAUACAUUCAUGAAAAUACAUGCAUGUAUUCAUUGA